GAUGAACGCUAGCGGGAGGCCUAACACAUGCAAGCCGAGCGGUAUUGUUUCUUCGGAAAUGAGAGAGCGGCGUACGGGUGCGGAACACGUGUGCAACCUGCCUUUAUCUGGGGGAUAGCCUUUCGAAAGGAAGAUUAAUACUCCAUAACAUAUUGAUUGGCAUCAAUUAAUAUUGAAAGCUCCGGCGGAUAGAGAUGGGCACGCGCAAGAUUAGCUAGUUGGUGAGGUAACGGCUCACCAAGGCGAUGAUCUUUAGGGGGCCUGAGAGGGUGAUCCCCCACACUGGUACUGAGACACGGACCAGACUCCUACGGGAGGCAGCAGUGAGGAAUAUUGGUCAAUGGGUGCAAGCCUGAACCAGCCAUCCCGCGUGAAGGACGACUGCCCUAUGGGUUGUAAACUUCUUUUGUAUAGGGAUAAACCUACCCUCGUGAGGGUAGCUGAAGGUACUAUACGAAUAAGCACCGGCUAACUCCGUGCCAGCAGCCGCGGCAAUACGGAGGGUGCAAGCGUUAUCCGGAUUUAUUGGGUUUAAAGGGUCCGUAGGCGGACUUAUAAGUCAGUGGUGAAAGCCUGUCGCUUAACGAUAGAACUGCCAUUGAUACUGUAAGUCUUGAGUAUAUUUGAGGUAGCUGGAAUAAGUAGUGUAGCGGUGAAAUGCAUAGAUAUUACUUAGAACACCAAUUGCGAAGGCAGGUUACCAAGAUAUAACUGACGCUGAGGGACGAAAGCGUGGGGAGCGAACAGGAUUAGAUACCCUGGUAGUCCACGCCGUAAACGAUGCUAACUCGUUUUUGGGCUUUAGGGUUCAGAGACCAAGCGAAAGUGAUAAGUUAGCCACCUGGGGAGUACGCUCGCAAGAGUGAAACUCAAAGGAAUUGACGGGGGCCCGCACAAGCGGUGGAUUAUGUGGUUUAAUUCGAUGAUACGCGAGGAACCUUACCAAGACUUAAAUGGGAAUUGACAGCUUUAGAAAUAGAGCUUUCUUCGGACAACUUUCAAGGUGCUGCAUGGUUGUCGUCAGCUCGUGCCGUGAGGUGCUAGGUUAAGUCCUGCAACGAGCGCAACCCCUGUCACUAGUUGCCAUCACUCAGUUGGGGACUCUAGUGAGACUGCCUACGCAAGUAGAGAGGAAGGUGGGGAUGACGUCAAAUCAUCACGGCCCUUACGUCUUGGGCCACACACGUAAUACAAUGGCUGGUACAGAGGGCAGCUACACAGCGAUGUGAUGCAAAUCUCGAAAGCCGGUCUCAGUUCGGAUUGGAGUCUGCAACUCGACUCUAUGAAGCUGGAAUCGCUAGUAAUCGCGCAUCAGCCAUGGCGCGGUGAAUACGUUCCCGGGCCU
rnacentral:rRNA from 1 species